UCAAAUGAGAUAUGGAACCACAUUUUGAUUUAAAAAUAGCGUUGAAUGUAAUUUCUUGAAUAGUUAAAUUAGCUAUUUGGAUCCUAAACAUGGCGUCGCCGGUAUUGAGACUCGUCGUACAUCUCAGAUCCACUUAUUGGGCUGAUAUUGUUGCCCAUCUUAAGUCUCCUUCAACUCGAAUUCUACAAUUUUUGGUCAUCUCUCCGAUUGUUGGUACGAAAAGGAACCAUAUCCGAUUGACGGAUCUGAGUUGGGAUUAAGCCCUCACUACUCAACAAUCAGGAAAAUCAAAGCAGAAGGGAGUGAAAAUGCACAAUACUUGUUUUGGAUCACUGAUUGAACUCGUGCAGUUCUCAUCCAGAUACUUGGAGAAGCGGUUGCAAUGCAAGUAGGAUGCCAAACCACCAGCGGAACACCCGGAAAGCAAAGCCUGAAAAAUCGAAGUGAACACAAGAAAAUGGUACUAUAAGCUCAUUAAAAUCAUGCUUCAAAUGUUUUCUCGACUCGUAGAUUUGUCAUUGAAUAUACUUUG